CUCCCUCUAUAUAUAUAUAUAUAUAUAUAUAUAUAUAUAAUAUUGUAUACAUACUAUUACAUAACUUAUCAAUUUAUCAUAUAAUAUAAUAUUAUUUUAAUAUAUUUAAUUUAUAAAUAUAAGUUAUAAAAAUAAAUUUAUUAUUAUAUAUAUAUAAAUAACAUAUAAUAUAUUAUAAAAAAAACAUAAAACUUUUUUGCCUUCGAACCAAACAAGUGUGGCUGAAAAUUAUUUUUUCUUUCCUACAAACUAAACACUAAAAAAUGUACAACUUUUUUAUCACUGAAUAUUUUUUUUCACCGAAAUAUUUUUUCUACAGUUGUACAUAGAACCAAAU
rnacentral:lncRNA from 1 species